UUGUCUAGUCUGUUGAUAUCUGGUUUGCUUGGUAGCGAGUGUGCUUGGUAGUUAGUAUGUUUGGUAGCUAACGUGUUUGGUAGCUAGUUUGCUUGUUAGCUCAUUUGUUUGGUAGCUCAUUUGUUUGGUAGCUAGCUUGUUUGGUAGUUUGUUUGGUAGCUAGCUUGUUUGGUAGCUCAUUUGUUUGGUAGCCACUUUGCUUGGUAGUUAGCUUGCUUGGUAGCUACUUCGUUUGGUAGCCCCUUUGUUUGGUAGUUAGUUUGUUUGGUAGCCCCUUUGUUUGGUAGUUAGUUUGUUUGGUAGCUAGGUUGCUUGGUACCCCUUUUGCUUGGUAGAUAGUUUGUUUGGUAGCCCCUUUGCUUGGUAGAUAGUAUGUUUGGUAGCCCCUUGCUUGGUAGAUAGUUUGUUUGGUAGCCCCUUUGCUUGGUAGAUAGUUUGUUUGGUAGCCCCUUUGCUUGGUAGUUAUUUUGUUUGGUAGCCCCUUUGCUUGGUUAGUUUUAGUUUGCUUGGUAGCUACUUUGUUUGGUAGCCCCUUUGCUUGGUAGUUAGUUUGUUUGGUAGUAGUUUGUUUGGUAGUUAGUUUGUUUGGUAGCCCCUUUGCUUGGUAGUUAGUUUGUUUGGUAGCUACUUUGCUUGGUAGUUAAUUUGUUUGGUAGCUACUUUGUUGAUAGCUAGUUUAUUUGGUCGCUAGUUUGUUUGGUAGCUACUUGUUGCUAG
ensembl:lncRNA